CCCUUAGAUGUUCUGGGCCGCACGCGCGCUACACUGACUACUUCAACGAGUUGUUUCCUUGAUCGAAAGGUCUGGGUAAUCUUUGAAAGGUAGUCGUGAUGGGGAUAGAUCCUUGCAAUUUUUGAUCUUCAACGAGGAAUUCCUAGUAAACGCAAGUCAUCAGCUUGCAUUGAUUACGUCCCUGCCCUUUGUACACACCGCCCGUCGUACCUACCGAUUGAAUGGUCCGGUGAAUCUUUAGGACUGUGGCUGAGGCCUUGCCUUGUGCGGGUCUGGCCGUGGGAAUUUAGUUAAACCUUACCAUUUAGAGGAAGGUGAAGUCGUAACA
rnacentral:rRNA from 1 species